rnacentral:rRNA from 1 species
UUAAGUUAUUAAGGGCGCACGGUGGAUGCCUUGGCACUAGAAGCCGAUGAAGGACGUUACUAACGACGAUAUGCUUUGGGGAGCUGUAAGUAAGCUUUGAUCCAGAGAUUUCCGAAUGGGGAAACCCAGCAUGAGUUAUGUCAUGUUAUCGAUAUGUGAAUACAUAGCAUAUCAGAAGGCACACCCGGAGAACUGAAACAUCUUAGUACCCGGAGGAAGAGAAAGAAAAUUCGAUUCCCUUAGUAGCGGCGAGCGAAACGGGAAGAGCCCAAACCAAAAAGCUUGCUUGUUGGGGUUGUAGGACACUCUAUACGGAGUUACAAAGGACGACAUUAGACGAAUCAUCUGGAAAGAUGAAUCAAAGAAGGUAAUAAUCCUGUAGUCGAAAAUGUUGUCUCUCUUAAGUGGAUCCUGAGUACGACGGAGCACGUGAAAUUCCGUCGGAAUCUGGGAGGACCAUCUCCUAAGGCUAAAUACUCUCUAGUGACCGAUAGUGAACCAGUACCGUGAGGGAAAGGUGAAAAGCACCCCGGAAGGAGAGUGAAAUAGAACCUGAAACCGUGUGCUUACAAGUAGUCAGAGCCCGUUAAUGGGUGAUGGCGUGCCUUUUGUAGAAUGAACCGGCGAGUUACGAUUUGAUGCAAGGUUAAGCAGUAAAUGUGGAGCCGUAGCGAAAGCGAGUCUGAAUAGGGCGUUUAGUAUUUGGUCGUAGACCCGAAACCAGGUGAUCUACCCUUGGUCAGGUUGAAGUUCAGGUAACACUGAAUGGAGGACCGAACCGACUUACGUUGAAAAGUGAGCGGAUGAACUGAGGGUAGCGGAGAAAUUCCAAUCGAACCUGGAGAUAGCUGGUUCUCUCCGAAAUAGCUUUAGGGCUAGCCUCAAGUGAUGAUUAUUGGAGGUAGAGCACUGUUUGGACGAGGGGCCCCUCUCGGGUUACCGAAUUCAGACAAACUCCGAAUGCCAAUUAAUUUAACUUGGGAGUCAGAACAUGGGUGAUAAGGUCCGUGUUCGAAAGGGAAACAGCCCAGACCACCAGCUAAGGUCCCAAAAUAUAUGUUAAGUGGAAAAGGAUGUGGCGUUGCCCAGACAACUAGGAUGUUGGCUUAGAAGCAGCCAUCAUUUAAAGAGUGCGUAAUAGCUCACUAGUCGAGUGACACUGCGCCGAAAAUGUACCGGGGCUAAACAUAUUACCGAAGCUGUGGAUUGUCCUUUGGACAAUGGUAGGAGAGCGUUCUAAGGGCGUUGAAGCAUGAUCGUAAGGACAUGUGGAGCGCUUAGAAGUGAGAAUGCCGGUGUGAGUAGCGAAAGACGGGUGAGAAUCCCGUCCACCGAUUGACUAAGGUUUCCAGAGGAAGGCUCGUCCGCUCUGGGUUAGUCGGGUCCUAAGCUGAGGCCGACAGGCGUAGGCGAUGGAUAACAGGUUGAUAUUCCUGUACCACCUAUAAUCGUUUUAAUCGAUGGGGGGACGCAGUAGGAUAGGCGAAGCGUGCGAUUGGAUUGCACGUCUAAGCAGUAAGGCUGAGUAUUAGGCAAAUCCGGUACUCGUUAAGGCUGAGCUGUGAUGGGGAGAAGACAUUGAGUCUUCGAGUCGUUGAUUUCACACUGCCGAGAAAAGCCUCUAGAUAGAAAAUAGGUGCCCGUACCGCAAACCGACACAGGUAGUCAAGAUGAGAAUUCUAAGGUGAGCGAGCGAACUCUCGUUAAGGAACUCGGCAAAAUGACCCCGUAACUUCGGGAGAAGGGGUGCUCUUUAGGGUUAACGCCCAGAAGAGCCGCAGUGAAUAGGCCCAAGCGACUGUUUAUCAAAAACACAGGUCUCUGCUAAACCGUAAGGUGAUGUAUAGGGGCUGACGCCUGCCCGGUGCUGGAAGGUUAAGAGGAGUGGUUAGCUUCUGCGAAGCUACGAAUCGAAGCCCCAGUAAACGGCGGCCGUAACUAUAACGGUCCUAAGGUAGCGAAAUUCCUUGUCGGGUAAGUUCCGACCCGCACGAAAGGCGUAACGAUUUGGGCACUGUCUCAACGAGAGACUCGGUGAAAUCAUAGUACCUGUGAAGAUGCAGGUUACCCGCGACAGGACGGAAAGACCCCGUGGAGCUUUACUGUAGCCUGAUAUUGAAAUUCGGCACAGCUUGUACAGGAUAGGUAGGAGCCUUUGAAACGUGAGCGCUAGCUUACGUGGAGGCGCUGGUGGGAUACUACCCUAGCUGUGUUGGCUUUCUAACCCGCACCACUUAUCGUGGUGGGAGACAGUGUCAGGCGGGCAGUUUGACUGGGGCGGUCGCCUCCUAAAAGGUAACGGAGGCGCUCAAAGGUUCCCUCAGAAUGGUUGGAAAUCAUUCAUAGAGUGUAAAGGCAUAAGGGAGCUUGACUGCGAGACCUACAAGUCGAGCAGGGUCGAAAGACGGACUUAGUGAUCCGGUGGUUCCGCAUGGAAGGGCCAUCGCUCAACGGAUAAAAGCUACCCCGGGGAUAACAGGCUUAUCUCCCCCAAGAGUUCACAUCGACGGGGAGGUUUGGCACCUCGAUGUCGGCUCAUCGCAUCCUGGGGCUGUAGUCGGUCCCAAGGGUUGGGCUGUUCGCCCAUUAAAGCGGUACGCGAGCUGGGUUCAGAACGUCGUGAGACAGUUCGGUCCCUAUCCGUCGUGGGCGUAGGAAAUUUGAGAGGAGCUGUCCUUAGUACGAGAGGACCGGGAUGGACAUACCUCUGGUGUACCAGUUGUCGUGCCAACGGCAUAGCUGGGUAGCUAUGUGUGGACGGGAUAAGUGCUGAAAGCAUCUAAGCAUGAAGCCCCCCUCAAGAUGAGAUUUCCCAACUUCGGUUAUAAGAUCCCUCAAAGAUGAUGAGGUUAAUAGGUUCGAGGUGGAAGCAUGGUGACAUGUGGAGCUGACGAAUACUAAUCGAUCGAAGACUUAAUCAA